AGAGAGAGACAUGCGCGCAUAUCAAUAAGCGGAGGAAAAGAAACUAACAAGGAUUCCCUUAGUAACGGCGAGUGAAGCGGGAAGAGCUCAAAUUUGAAAUCUUCAAGGUUUUACCUUGACGAAUUGUAGUUUAAAGAAGUGUUUUCUGCUGAAGUUUUGGUAAAAGUUCUUUGGAAUAGGACAUCAUAGAGGGUGAGAAUCCCGUAUUUGACCAUUAUUUUCAGCUUUGUGAUACACUUUCAAAGAGUCGGAUUGUUUGGGAAUGCAGUCCAAAAUGGGUGGUAAAUUUCAUCUAAAGCUAAAUAUUGGCGAGAGACCGAUAGCGAACAAGUACCGUGAGGGAAAGAUGAAAAGAACUUUGAAAAGAGAGUUAAACAGUACGUGAAAUUGUCAAAAGGGAAGCGUUUGACACCAGUGUUGUUUUCUCGAAAAUCAAUUAAAAAUGGCUCGAUUUUGUAUUGUUGAGACCUUAAAAGCUCACCGUACAUUUUUCGUGUCUUUUUUAAUGCACUUUUCGUUUAACAAGUCAACUAUCAGUUUCUUUUGUUGUAAAAGGGUCAUUGGAAGGUGGCUUUCUUUUCGGAGAAAGUGUUUAUAGCCUUUGGCCUCUGCAAUCGGAGAGACUGAGGUCUGCAGCGUAGACUCUUCGGGGUUAGAUACAUUUGUGCUAAGUUAUAGCUUUUUAUAGACAACUUGUUGACUAUAAUUAGUCUUGUAGCUUACUCGCUUAUGCUAUUUUACCUACGCUUAGGAUGUUGAAGUCAUCGUAUCGCGC
rnacentral:rRNA from 1 species